rnacentral:rRNA from 1 species
UUGGGGUUGCGGACAUAUCAUAACGAAGAGGUAUCGUAAUUGAAGAGGUUUGGAAAGACCCACCACAGAAGGUAAUAGUCCUGUAUGUUAAACGAGAAGACUUUAGAUAUGAUCCAGAGUACCACGGGACACGUGAAACCCUGUGGGAAGCAGGAGGGACCACCCUCCAAGGCUAAAUACUACCUAGUGACCGAUAGCGUAUAGUACCGUGAGGGAAAGGUGAAAAGAACCCCGGGAGGGGAGUGAAAUAGAACCUGAAACCCUGCACUUACAAGCUGUGGAAGCACAUUUCUUGUGUGACCGCGUACUUUUUGUAGAACGGGCCAACGAGUUACGUUAAGUAGCAAGGUUAAGCACUUAAGGUG